AGGCAGAUCCGGAAGGGUGCCAUCGCCCGUACAUCCUGUGAGACAUAGUGGGAAGCAGCUGAAAUCAUCAGAGGCCCCUGAUACGUGGUCUUCGGAUGAUUUGUACGUUAAUACAUUAGUACUGGAACCAAGUGAUGGAUAUAGUUUUAGUAUGAAGGCCAUAGAAGAGACAGAAGAUAACAUUUACGCCAAUGCUUAAGGAAAGAGAGAUCAUACUGGACAACCAAAAAAUGUCUGGGAGGUCACAGAGGUCCAAUCUGGGUUAAAAAAAAUUUUCCUGGGGUCCUGUCUGGUAUUGCAGCUAAGCUCUUUUGAAGUGAAUGUGACUCAGCUGCAGUACUACACAUCACCUGUGGACAGGAGUGGUGCUGUUUUUGCCAUUUUCUGAUCCUGGACAAGGGGUCUGGUCUGUUAUUAGUUCAGGUGAUCUGGGGAAACUG